GAUGUCCUGGGGUGUUCGUUAAGACUCUUAAUUCAACCUACAGUUUCACAUUGGGAUUCCGGAUGUCGCGUCCGCGUGUAUGUCAGGCCUCCGUUGCAGUGGAAGGCAGAAAACGGACCGCAGGAGACCCACCUAUCUAUCGAUAGGGCGUGAAUUAAAGUCUGACGGCACUCUGGGCUUCUU
rnacentral:other from 1 species